GCGGCGGACGAGCGAGUAACACGUGAGAAUUUGCCCCGUACUCAGGGAUAACAGCUCGAAAGAGUUGCUAAUACCGGAUGCCCUCGCAAGAGGAAAGAUUUAUCGGUACGGGAGAAGCUCGCGGUCUAUCAGCUAGUUGGUGGGGUAAUGGCCCACCAAGGCAAUGACGGAUAGCUGGUGUGAGAGCAUGACCAGCCGCGAUGGAACUGAGACACGGUCCAUACUCCUACGGGAGGCAGCAGUAGGGAAUCUUCCGCAAUGGGCGAAAGCCUGACGGAGCGACACCGCGUGGAGGAUGACAGCCUAUGGGUUGUAAACUCCUUUUAUGGGGGAAGAAAAUCUGACGGUACCCCAUGAAUAAGCCUCGGCUAAUUCUGUGCCAGCAGCCGCGGUAAGACAGAAGAGGCAAGCGUUACCCGGAAUUACUGGGCGUAAAGCGUCCGCAGGUGGUGUGGUAAGUCUGUCAUUAAAUGCCUGUGCUCAACAUAGGCGCUGUGAUGGAAACUAUCAUACUAGAGGAAAGGAGAGGUAUGCGGAAUAGUGCAAGUAGGGGUAAAAUCCGUAGAUAUGCACUGGAACACCAAAAGCGAAGGCAGCAUACUGGCCUUUUCCUGACACUCAGGGACGAAAGCGUGGGGAGCAAAACGGAUUAGAUACCCGUGUAGUCCACGCCGUAAACGAUGCAUGCUCGGUGUGGGGACCCUCGACCUGGUCCCCGUGCCCAAGGUAACCCGUUAAGCAUGCCGCCUGUGUAGUACGGCCGCAAGGCUAAAACACAAAGGAAUAGACGGGGGCCCACACAAGCGGUGGAUCGUGGGGUUUAAUUCGAUAAUAAGCGAGUAACCUUACCUAGACUUGACAUCCCUAUCAUACCCCUCAGAGAUGAGGGGGUCGGUUCGGCCGGAUAGGUGACAGGCGCUGCAUGGUUGUCGUCAGCUCGUGCCUUGAGGUGUUCGGUUA
rnacentral:rRNA from 1 species